rnacentral:rRNA from 1 species
GAGUUUAGACUCGUAGCAUAUAGCUCAGUAACACGUGGCCAAACUACCCUACAGACCGCGAUAACCUCGGGAAACUGAGGCCAAUAGCGGAUAUAACUCUCAUGCUGGAGUGCAGAGAGUUAGAAACGUUCCGGCGCUGUAGGAUGUGGCUGCGGCCGAUUAGGUAGAUGGUGGGGUAACGGCCCACCAUGCCGAUAAUCGGUACAGGUUGUGAGAGCAAGAACCUGGAGACGGUAUCUGAGACAAGAUACCGGGCCCUACGGGGCGCAGCAGGCGCGAAACCUUUACACUGCACGACAGUGCGAUAGGGGGACUCCGAGUGUGAGGGCAUAUAGCCCUCGCUUUUCUGUACCGUAAGGUGGUACAGGAACAAGGACUGGGCAAGACCGGUGCCAGCCGCCGCGGUAAUACCGGCAGUCCAAGUGAUGGCCGAUAUUAUUGGGCCUAAAGCGUCCGUAGCUUGCUGUGUAAGUCCAUUGGGAAAUCGACCAGCUCAACUGGUCGGCGUCCGGUGGAAACUACACAGCUUGGGGCCGAAAGACUCGACGGGUACGUCCGGGGUAGGAGUGAAAUCCUGUAAUCCUGGACGGACCACCAAUGGGGAAACCACGUUGAGAGAACGGACCCGACAGUGAGGGACGAAAGCCAGGGUCUCGAACCGGAUUAGAUACCCGGGUAGUCCUGGCUGUAAACAAUGCUCGCUAGGUAUGUCACGCGCCAUGAGCACGUGAUGUGCCGUAGUGAAGACGAUAAGCGAGCCGCCUGGGAAGUACGUCCGCAAGGAUGAAACUUAAAGGAAUUGGCGGGGGAGCACCACAACCGGAGGAGCCUGCGGUUUAAUUGGACUCAACGCCGGACAUCUCACCGGUCCCGACAGUAGUAAUGACAGUCAGGUUGACGACUUUACUCGACGCUACUGAGAGGAGGUGCAUGGCCGCCGUCAGCUCGUACCGUGAG